rnacentral:misc_RNA from 1 species
UCUUUGUGGGGGAAAAAUGUUGGUGGUGGUGGUGGAAAAUUUGGAACACCCACUCCUGAGGAAGAAAUGACAGUUUGAGGACAUGCCAAUGUACAGUGAACAUGUGCAGUAUGUGACCAGCCAUCCAAACUCAGAAGCAUUUACCACACAAACACUGUUUAGCUUCAUAACAAGCAGUGGAGACACUGCCAAACCGUUUUCACAGACGAGACCUGAUUCUCAUCCCAGCAAUCAAAAGUCAAACAAAACUGCUCACAAUUUUGUGAACCACCAUCCACCACCAACUGUUACUAGUAGAAAAGAAAAAGCCAAGGAAAUGAAGGUUGCCAUUAGAAAACUUCACAACAAAGAAGCAGCUAAAAAGUCUCACCUUGCCAAGAAAAAGAGAAAGGAGACUCUUUUGAAGAAGUCCAUGGAACUGUACGAGGAGAAACUUCAAUUGGAACAAGAUAUCCGUACUCUGAACAACUGCCUGCGUCUCUACCACCAGAUGUACUCUUGCAUGACACAUGUUUGCUGCCUUCCAGAUGAAGAUGCCUAAAAUGGGUGUCAAUAUGGGCAUGCUUUUGCUGUCUUCUAUCUCAUUUUAGUUUCAGUUUUUUCCUGUUUAGUUUUUGCUGGCUGCAAAAUGUGGCUUUGCAAAAAGUCUGAGAGUAGAUGGCACUUGAUGAAAAAUGAAAUUUUUGUUUUUCUUGAUGAGACCUAACUGUAAAAAUAAUGUUUCAAAGAGAUUUUCUGUUCUGAUUUCUUGGAACAAAUUUUGUUUAGAGUGAGGUUGGGGGUACUCAGUUAUUUUAAAAUUCUACUAAGCCAAAGAGAAUCGAUUUAGAUAACCUUGUGUUUAUAGAAAAAAAAAACUACAUGGAAUGCUUUGUCUGGAUUCAUGACAUUUCAUUUUUAGUAUCAAAACUGUAUACAUAAGUAGUUUCAGCUUGUUCAAAAAUACAGAUUGGUGAUAGGUCAGAGUCAUAUGAAAGCAGACAUUACCUGCAGUACUAAAGGUGCUUCAUAAUGCUGGCAAAUGCACUUUUUUAGACAGAGAUGUCAUUAAGUGUGUCAGCAAGUUGACAGUGCCUUGUAGUGCUGAUGUAGCGUCUUGCUGUUUAUAGCAGUAAGUUAUAUACUUUAUCAAAACAGCUAAUUUAUCAACCAAAGAAGUCAAGAUAUCUAGCUUGUCAAAGACUUGACGGCAGUCUCUCAGUAGCAAAACACAAGUUCAGAAUAACUGUAUAGUGAGAAAAAAACCUGUUCUUCUUGCAGAAUUAUAGGAAUGAGAUUACAGAGCAACAGCAUUUUAUUAUUUAAUCUUUUUUACCACAAAAUGUCCUAGGUGGAUUUUAUUUGGGAUCCCUUCCCCCAUUCACUCUAAAGAAAUGCCAAGAAAGAUGACCUGAUGGUGUUUUUGAGAUGUAUUUGAGUGACAUAUAUAAAGUGUUUUUUUUCACACUUGAAUUAAUUUCCUAUUGCAUGUGCAUUGCUUAUUUGAAAGAUUUUUAUUUGUAAUGAACUUGUCAAACUGGCUACUUCUUUCAAAGUAAAUCAUAAGAAUGUGAUUCUCUGUUUUUAUAGUCAAAGUUUGUCAGUUUCACCUGAUACUCCUUGCAGCAGUAAGAAAUAUUCUUGCUUAAAAUGUGAUUCUUCUGAGAAAAGCAUGAAGAAAUUCUUUAUGGUAAAUAUACUGUUAUGAAAAGAAGAGCAAGGGUUAAUGUUGAAAAAUUGCAAACCGGAAAAGUAUUGAGAGCAGAGAAACUUUCUGAGAAAGUAUCAUAGGGAAAUCCAGAUACAGGCAGUGCAUUUCUCAUUGCCAGACUGAGUGGUUAAAACAAGUAAAAUUUGUGAAAAGUAGUCAUAUAAUGCAGAAAGUUUUUUGUUUGUGUAGACACCAGUUCCUACAGAAACUUGGUAAAUCAGUUUGGCCUUCCUAAGAAAGCUGAUGCAUUCUAAUCCAUUCAGAUGAAAAAGCUUAUAUUGGGUUCCUGCUUUCAAUUCUUCCAUUUACUUGUGCAUUGGACAUACUGGUUGUAUCCUUAUCCCCGAGAGGGGCAUCGGGGUUCAACCUGUCCAUAAAUAUGCACGAUAAGCCAUUAUAUAUUGCCACAGAAAAAAAAAGAGAAAUUGAAAAUGCUUUAGUAAUUUGAAAUACAUGUUCUAAAAUUUAAAUAAUCUGUGCAAAAUUUAAUUCUUAAACACAUGUUGGUUGCGUCUCAUUUUUCCCCACAUUGAUGACUUCCUAUUUGCUUCAACUUCAUUGCAAAGUGAUGUUAUUCGAACUGCUUUUCAUAAUGAGUGUUGUUAUUAAAAAGGAUUUUUUAAAUAUUAGCUGAAUGUGUUGGGUAUAAAAUUACUGGGAUGCUUGAAAUGUCUAUAACGGGAUUACUGUUGAACAUAUAAGGAUACAUUAAGAGAAUCAUUUAAUUUGCUUGUUCAUCAAAGUGCAAUUGCAACAUUUUUCACCAGUAUCCAGGCUUGUUUAUGUUGAAACAUAUUUCCUACGUUGCAGAAUGUUGGCAGUUUUCAUAAUUAGUAAUAUUUUUUUAAAUUAAUGUUCCUGCAGAAAAUGCUAAAAACUGGAGGAUAUAAUUUAUGGAAAAAAACAAAGACACUAACAAUGACAGUUGAUUGUAAAUAGUCCUUCGAUCAUUACUUCAUUUGUUUUUCAUUUUGAUAAAAUUGUUUUUCUUUCAUAGGUAAUAAAUUCAUUACAGCUUGGAUACAGUUUUUGUCAAAAAUGCACUGUAUUGUACUGGCAGAUUUCUCUGCUUGGUAGUGAACUCUAUACACUUAAACAAAAGAGCAGUGCAAAAAACCGAUGCAAACAUGUUUUCAAUGUGCAAUAUAUUAGCAUAUAUUCAGCAAACUGUACAGAUCUGUGACAUAAAUCCAAAGUGGGCAAUGACACUGAAGGCCAGACAAGAAAAACAUUCAAAGGCUAUGAAAGUUGGCCUAGAAAAAACGCCAAAAGUUGCUGUGUAUGCACAUACAUAGGGCAAAGCAACAUAUACAAAUUCAUGGCAUGUAAAUAUAGAGUACACAAAAUAUAUACAUAGAGUAAAGCAGCUUGAUAACACAUGCAAGCAAUAUAUACAGGAUGAAAUACACAUGCAGAAAAGCAAAUGAAACUAGUUGAUAUAGUGAUUAGCGAGUUAUCAUGUGUUACGCUUCGCAGAAAAGAUCCAGUGCUUUCAUGUUUUAGGUUUUCUGGCUGAGGGUCACUUCUGUCAUCCAUGAUUGAUCUCUGUGUUUUUGCCAAAUACAACUUGUUUGGAA